GGGCCCAACACAACUGUAACAACUCUCUGCUUUUCUAGCCUGACAGCACUAGCGCUGGGGGGUCACACACCGUAACUCGAGAUAAAUAACAGCCCCGGGGCGGGCCCUAAUGGAAGGGAACUAAAGCCGUAAGCUCCGCAGGAGAGACACACGGGCCCCGCUUUGUUCGCAGGAACAGGAACAUCAACAAACGGGAACGCUACCGAGCCCUUUACAACGAUCGCCAAACCCCGGGGGGAGGGGCUCUCGAUUUACGGACGGGAAAGCGGAGGCCGAGGCAGGCGUGGAGGACUGCCGGGGUCAGGACCGCAGGCCGGGCCCGGCUCCCCGGGAAUGCCGCAUCAGCACGGAGGCAGCACGGGCUCACGAAGCAACAACUUCGUCGUCUUUCCGUGACCUCGGAUCCACGUCGCCGCCAACAGCGGGGAGCCAGAAAACGGGACGGACGGGCGCUUCACGCGCAGGGGGAAGCCGACGUCCCGGACGCCGCCCCCCCCCCCCUCCCCCCCGUCCCUCAGAGCGCAGGACCCGGCCACCCCGCCCUCCCCCCCAGCCUCAUUCCCGACGCUUAUCAGCGCCCCACCGUCCCCGUGACAGCGAGGAGCCCGGGGCAGGGGGGAGGGGCCCAGCUCCCGGCGGCGACCCCCCGAUCCCGCCUGACCUUGACGGAGGUCGGGAUCCUCCAGCACGUUGUAGGCCGCGUAGUCGGUGACGCCGUGCAGCCGCAGGAUCUGCACCACGGCGUUGCUGAAGCCGCACUGGGGCUGCUGGGGGGUCCCCUUCAAGAACACCACCACCUUGUCCUUCUUCACGAGGGAGUCGAGAUGCUCCCUGGAGGCCGGGCCCGAGCCCGACCCCCCGGGGCCCGAGCUCCGAGUCCGCAGUGCCGGGCCCCGCAGGAGGACCCCGCGCCCCAGGUGGAGCAGAGCCGCCGACGCUCGGCCUAAAGACCCGCUCAUCUCCCGCAGCCAAACGUCCUCCCGGCCCAGGACUCUCUCGGAAAGCCGUUCCUCGGUCCGAGCACCCGCGCCUCCUUGUCCCGCCCCCCAGCCGCGGGCCCAUUGGUCAAAGAUUUGAGACUUAACGUGGGUUGGAAGAAGUUUACCUGUCAGUCCUUGGAAACCACCAAUCAUCGCACCGUGGCCCUCGCGGGGGGUGGGGGAGAGAGCUGGAGUACGGGCUGCCACCACACCCCGCACUUGUCCUUUCACCCACAGACACCUGCUUUUAUGUUGGUCGGAGGUCCCGCGGGCCCGCCGGGCAGGCUCGGAAGCCAAUGACGGGCAACGAGGGAGAAGAAUGACUUUUUCCUGCGAAAAAACUGGUUGGCUAGGUUACGUGGGGGCGGGCUGUGGGACGACCGAGAAAACUUUGGUGUUCAGUUUUAAUCGACUCCUCCGGCGGGGCGGGAGGAGGAAGCGGUGCGACCGCGUUUACGCCAUUUCCUGGGGCCGCUUCUUCCUUUUCCGGCCGAUGAUGACUUGGAGUUGUCAUGGUGAUGCGGCCGGGAGGCCUCGGGCCUGCGGGGCGGGCCGGAGAGGAGGGGCGCGUGCGCCAUCUCCAUCUCCCUGCAACAGAGGUUUGAGCAGCAGGGUUUAAUUCGAGGAAUAAAAAUCACAACACGUUCUCUCACCAUUGGAAUUAACCCCACAUUGGCCCAGUUAUGGAAGAAACGUUGAGUAAAAGCUAAUAGGAAAGGACAGGUUCAUAUGAUUCAGGGUAAAUCCAAGGAACAAUCAUCAAUAUAUGUAGAAUUGCCUAUUGUGCUGAAGCUUUACUUUACAUGUGUCUCUUUGUUAGAAGGUUAGCAUCCUGUGGAUUUAACAUUGUCACCUAGUAUAUGUUCUUUCCGAGGUAAUCUAAUUCAUAGUUAGAUUAUUAUACCAUGAUUUCAGCAAAUUUAAAGGUAAGGUACAUUUUUUGUUUUUAAAGAGCAUGAGGAAUUUUAAUUCUUGAAACCCUGAAAGUAUAUUUUAUGGAGUACUUUCAAGAUUUUCAGUAAUAUGAUUUUGUUGGUGUUUGUAGUCCUCCCACCGAGGCUCAUUAAAACCCAUAAAGUGAGCUGGGAGUUAGGUUGCUACUUAGAAAAUAGAAACGGUCUCUCACUCGAUGAUAAAUUAGCUAAAUCUCGUCUCUCCUGGGGGUAAAACUGCAGACUUCCUUCACAAGAAGCCUUGGCACUAGGCAAUAAGGAGCAGCAGGUCUUUCUUCCUAGUGGGUAAGAGUAGUGUUACGUUUUUUAAAAAAAAAAAAAUAUCAGGUGCUUCUCCUUUUAUCUAUUUGAGGCAUGCAAUAGGCAGGAGGAAUGCUUUUUUUAGAAAACUUGAAAGGCGCGCCUCAACAUUUUGCCAAGUUUUUUUACAUAGAUUAUUUCAUUUGGUCCUUACGCAACCCUGUGACCUGUGAUGUCAGUGCUGUUGUUAUCCCAUGUGGAAGAUGAGGGCCUGGCGUUUGGGUUAAUGGACUUGACCAGAGUGACGUAGUCUAUAAAUGGUCGAGCCAGGAUUCAAAUACGUAUCUUUCUUUUUAAAAAAAAUUUCAGUUAACAAGUUUUUUUUAUAUUUAAUCUUGAUUACCUCCCCUUUCAGACCUCUAGCCUCCCAAAAAAGGGGAGGGGGAGCUUUAUAACAAAUAAGCAUAAAUAUGCAAAGUAAAUUCCCAAACGGGCCACUUUCAGAAAUGUUUGUCUCCUCCUGCAUGUCAAAUCUGUCACUUCUCAGGACGUGAGUGACUUGCUUCAUCAUUCCUUCUCUGGAAGUCUGAGUUGUCAUUCCGUUGAUUAGAGUUCUAAGAUCUUUCAGAGUUGUUUAUAUAAAUAAGUUGUUUUUCAGAAGGAAUAUUUAAACAAGUCAUCUAUAAAGAAGACGGAAUGGAAGUCCCUGAAAGCAGAGAUUUCAUUUUUGUCUUUGUAUCUCAGGCAUCUAGCAGAGUUCCCAGAAUGUAGGUAGGCACUAAGUAAAGGUUAGUUGAAUUGUGUCGGGGAGGGGAGGGGUGGCUAUAUCAUCAUCUAUAUUUUACACACACUCAUAUUCAUAUCUUUACUUAAAAUGGGAUAGUUGUCUAGAAGAAAAGGGAGGAAGUAUAUUAAAUGUAGCACUCCUUUACAAAAAUCCUUUUGAUACUUUAAAAUGUUUUUGAGAUGCUGAAAAGAGAAGGUAAAACUCUGCGCUCGCAGAAAGCUGAGUGGUGAUUUAAGAAUAGGAUUAGAAGCAGCUGAGCAGAAUAAAUUGUGUUCCUGAACCAGACCAAGAAAUUUAAAGAAGACUGAGCUACAAAGAAUUUAAGCCAUUAAAAAAUCACUUAAAAUGUUGUAUUUAUUUGCUAGUUUGUGUUACAUGAUGAAGCCUGAAAUUUUGGCAAAUAAAAAAGUGCCUGUAGUGUGUGUUCAAAAUGUUUCUUCAAAACACCAAACUUUUAUGUGUUUUUUAGUAUUAAAAUUUCUCCCAAGAUAUGCUGUAUAACAAAUGUAUCAGUGAAUUAUACUCCUAAAAUAAAAUGUUCUUGCCACUACAA